ACUAAAAGCUUUGAUUGUUAUCGAGUAAAAGUUUUUUUUUUUUUUUAAGAUAGAUAGCACGCUAUCCGCUUUGUUUAUUUCAUUUGGAAAUAAAUAAACUUAGCUGGAAAUGUAAAUCAACUAGAAUUCGAACUUGGAUCUCGAAUACCAACCACCAAACCUUUUGCCACUUGCUCUAGGGACGGUCGGUGAGUAAAAGUUGAUACAAUCAUAAUAAGAUCGUAUAUAUGUUAUAAAA
rnacentral:lncRNA from 1 species